rnacentral:rRNA from 1 species
UACGUAGGGUGCGAGCGUUGUCCGGAAUUAUUGGGCGUAAAGAGCUUGUAGGUGGUUUGUCGCGUCUGCUGUGAAAAUCCGAGGCUCAACCUCGGACUUGCAGUGGGUACGGGCAGACUAGAGUGUGGUAGAGGCAAUCGGAAUUCCAGGUGUAGCGGUGAAAUGCGUAGAUAUCUGGAAGAACACCGGUGGCGCAAGCGGAUUGCUGGGCCAUAACUGACACUGAGGAACGAAAGCUAGGGGAGCGAAUGGG